ensembl:lncRNA
CUCAGCAUUCACCUGAAUCAUGUGCUGCAGUUUACAGCAGUGAAAACACACACACACACACACACACACGACUAGAAGUUCACCUCAAACCUCCGGGAGAUCCAGGGGACCACGCAUCAAGCUUGCUUCCUGGAAAUGACAUGACGUUGCACAUCUUUUGGAGAUGCCACGCUCUAUGUUCUAACGUUCGUUAAUUAUUUCUCUCGAGGAAAUGAAAGCCAGCGCCUCGUUACGAUCGCUCGGGUUCAAAGGAUGUCAAAUAUACACGAGGAGCUCUUGCCGCGCUGUUUGGUCGCCGUGUCAUGGCUUCCUGCGUGCAAUAAUUUGUGAAAUUAGAGCAAUUUGCAGUGCCGAUUCCUAAUAACAUAUAAUUAUGUCUUUUUUUUUUUUUUUUUUUUGAACAGCCAGGCAAACAAAAGACUUUUUUUUACGGGGUGUAUAUUAGGUGUUUAACACUGAAAUGCGAGUCAAUACGAAUCCCAGGUGAUGGAACGUAGGAUCGGGGACCGGGCUGUUUAUCAUCAGCUGCUCUUUCUAAAACCUUAUUUCAUUUCACUUAUGAGAGGCCCGAGGAAGGCGCGCAAAGAUUAGAACGGAACGGAAUGAUACAAAAUCCCUGUUUAUUAGAUGUUCAAGCAAGUUUUCCUGUUAAGAAGUGAACCUAAACGAGCCUGAAAGCAUGACUGAGGUUAAGACGAUUUUUAGGUGUAAUAUGCCAUUAUUUAGUAUAGAAUUCAAUCUGUGCCAAAAGGUAUUGAACGUAACGUUUCAAGAAACGAGCAAAAAUAUACAAUGAGAGAGAAGAAAAACACUCGGAAACUGUGAACGGUCAACUCGGAGGCAAAAAUGUAACACGGUCCUCAAAUAAACAGCGUUCACUAAUCACUAAUCGUGGUUCGUUUACGCUCUGCAAGUUUACUUUCACCAUCCUGGCACAAACCUCUCGUGUGGGCGGGGCUUAAAAUGAUUUACUCUCAUUCGCUAGUGAGAUUUGGAUGGACAGCUCCCUGUCCAGGAAGUAGUGACGUGAAUUUCAGAGAGCGUUCUGGAUGCGGUUCCCUGUAUAGUUAUAGUGUUUGUACUUGGUAGUGGAAAUGAUUCACUUACUUAGUCAGUGUAUUAGUUGGUAAUUAAUAGUUGAGGUUUGAGUAAUCUCCUCGUCAUCCUCAUCUCCUCCUCUUUCUCCGCUGGACACCCGAGCUGGUGAUCCAAAUCUCACUAGCCAAUGAGAGGAAAUCGCCGUUAAGCCCCGCCCACAUGAUAAAUUGAUGCCAGAACGGCGAACGUAAACCCGUGUCGAGUAAACGUGAAGUGUAAAUGAAAACUCCGGCAGCUUUGAAACCCGUUAAACAAAGAACGCUGUUUAUUUGAGUCGACUGUUUACCGCUACCGAGUGUUUUCUUCUCUCUCAUUGUACGUUUUUGUUUGUUUCUUGAAACGUUACGUUCGAUUCUUUUGGCCCAGAUUUAAUGAUAUAAUAUAAGCUGCAUUAACAAUGACGUCGAUGAAGUUCCUUGUAAAGAUAGCAGAACCAGUGUGUGUGUGUGUGUGUGGAGAAUAAAUACGGAUGUAAACAGAUAAAGUAACGGGAAGCGGCACUGAGACUGAAAUACACAGGGUAGGUGUUGUGGGUGCCUCCAGAGACAACUACAUGAGCUAAGCGACAUAAAGUAUGCUUAUAGCCAUUAUACAUCUCUGAGCAGUAGCCUCGAGCUUUAAUCACUGUUCGGCUUCUUAGUGGAUACUGGCGAAGUUAAACGAUGGGAAGUUAACUCAUGUGACCUGCGUGCUGGAGGUAAGGAGAGAGAAAAAAAAAAACCACUAUACAAGAAUAACAAGUGAAUGAUUUUAAUCAGCUUUUUUUCUCCUUGAGAGCGAUACUUCUGAAAGCCUGCAAUUUCCUUGCUCCUCGUCCGGUGCCUCAAGCCGUGCAAGCAGCAGCGUUUUUUCUGGUCGGGGGUUAAGUGACAACGAAUCACACGCGACAAUAAUGCACACAAGCCGUUAUACAAUCACAAGUCAUUAUACUGGCGACGAGGGAU